rnacentral:rRNA from 1 species
CAGUAGCCGCGGUAACACGUAGGUGGCGAGCGUUGUCCGGAAUUAUUGGGCGUAAAGGGAGCGCAGGCGGACAUAUAAGUCCAUCUUAAAAGUGCGGGGCUCAACCCCGUGAGGGGAUGGAAACUGUAUGCCUUGAGUGCAGGAGAGGAAAGCGGAAUUCCCAGUGUAGCGGUGAAAUGCGUAGAUAUUGGGAGGAACACCAGUGGCGAAGGCGGCUUUCUGGACUGCAACUGACGCUGAGGCUCGAAAGCCAGGGGAGCGAACGGGAUUAGAUACCCCUGUAGUCCCUGUCUCUUAUACA